rnacentral:rRNA from 1 species
AGAGCGAACGUUAGCGGCGGGCUUAACACAUGCAAGUCGAGCGAGAAAGGGGCUUCGGCCCCCGAGUACAGCGGCGGACGGGUGAAUAACACGUAGGUAACCUUCCUUCCAGCGGGGGACAACGGUCCGAAAGGACCGCUAAUACCGCAUACGUUCUCCGGGACCUCGGUCCUGGGGAGGAAAGCCUCGCAAGGGGCACUGGAUGAGGGCCUGCGUAGCAUCAGCUAGUUGGUGGGUAAUGGCCUACCGAAGGCGAAGACGCUUAGCUGGUCUGAGAGGAUGAUCAGCCACACUGGGACUGAGACACGGCCCAGACUCCGUACGGGAGCAGCAGGUGGGAAUAGUUAGACAAGUGGGACGGAAAGCCGUAGACUCCACGCCACGCCGCGUGAGUAGAUAGGAACGGUCCGUUACGGGUACGUAAACG